UACGUAGGGGGCAAGCGUUGUCCGGAAUCAUUGGGCGUAAAGAGCGCGUAGGCGGCCCGGUAAGUCCGCUGUGAAAGUCAAGGGCUUAACCCUUGAAUGCCGGUGGAAACUGCCGGGCUAGAGUCCGGAAGAGGCGAGUGGAAUUCCUGGUGUAGCGGUGAAAUGCGCAGAUAUCAGGAGGAACACCAAUGGCGAAGGCAGCUCGCUGGGACGGUACUGACGCUGAGACGCGAAAGCGUGGGGAGCGAACAGG
rnacentral:rRNA from 1 species